rnacentral:sRNA from 1 species
CCGGACGCUGGACUGCGAGGCCGUGUACUGCUGGUCGUGCUGGGACGACAUGCGGCAGCGGUGCCCGGUCUGCACGCCCCGCGAGGAGCUCUCUUCCUCCGCCUUUAGUGACAGCAACGACGACACUGCCUACGCGGGGUAAAGAGGCGUCCUGCUCGCUCUUCCGCUCCGUCCUUCCCGGUUAAUAAAAUGCCCUGUGGCACCGAGGAGCAGCAGGCAGAGUCAGAGAAGGCCCCGAGGGAGCCCUUGGAGCCCCAGGUCCUUCAGGACCUCAAAAAGGUGCUUCAGACCAGUCUGCCUGAGCCCCUGAGGAUCAAGUUGGAGCUGGACGGUGACAGUCAUAUCCUGGAGCUGCUACAGAAUAGAGAGUUGGUCCCAGGCCGUCCAACCCUGGUGUGGUACCAGCCCGAUGGCACUCGGGUGGUCAGUGAGGGACACACUCUGGAGAACUGCUGCUACCAGGGAAGAGUGCAGGGAUAUGCAGGCUCCUGGGUGUCCGUCUGCACCUGCUCUGGGCUCAGAGGCUUGGUGGUCCUGACCCCAGAGAGAAGCUAUACCCUGGAGCAGGAGCCUGGGGACCUUCAGGGUCCUCCCAUUAUUUCGCGAAUCCAAGAUCUCCACCUGCCAGGCCACACCUGUGCCCUGAGCUGGCAGGAAUCUGUAUACACUCAGACUCCACCAGAGCACCCCCUGGGACAGCGCCACAUUCGCCGGAGUAGGAGUGGCUGCCUCUUGGUCAGCCCUGCACAGCUGCUGGCUGCGAGCGGCAGGUUUGCUUGAUAAUUCUUCUUGUCCAUAGUGGAGGCGGGAUGUGGUAACAGAGACCAAGACUGUGGAGUUGGUGAUUGUGGCUGAUCACUCGGAGGUGAGCCUGCUGGCCCCUGCACAUGCUCCUCCCCCUGCACUGCCCCGCCGCCUUUCGUGUCACCUCUCUUGGCCUACAGGUCCAGAAAUACCGGGACUUCCAGCACCUGCUAAACCGCACAUUGGAAGUGGCCCUCUUGCUGGACACAGUGAGUGCUGGACAGGGCAGCCCCCACCCCAGGCCCCUGACCAUGACAACCCCUCUUCUGAGCCCCAGCUGUCUUUCAGUUCUUCCGGCCCCUGAAUGUACGAGUGGCACUAGUGGGCCUGGAGGCCUGGACCCAGCGUGACCUGG